rnacentral:rRNA from 1 species
AUUGAACGCUGGCGGCAUGCCUUACACAUGCAAGUCGAACGGCAGCGCGGACUUCGGUCUGGCGGCGAGUGGCGAACGGGUGAGUAAUACAUCGGAACGUACCCUGUUGUGGGGGAUAACUAGUCGAAAGAUUAGCUAAUACCGCAUACGACCUGAGGGUGAAAGUGGGGGACCGCAAGGCCUCACGCAGCAGGAGCGGCCGAUGUCUGAUUAGCUAGUUGGUGGGGUAAAGGCCCACCAAGGCGACGAUCAGUAGCUGGUCUGAGAGGACGAUCAGCCACCCUGGGACUGAGACACGGCCCAGACUCCGACGGGAGGCAGCAGUGGGGAAUUUUGGACAAUGGGGGCAACCCUGAUCCAGCAAUGCCGCGUGUGUGAAGAAGGCCUUCGGGUUGUAAAGCACUUUUGUCCGGAAAGAAAUCGCGCUGGUUAAUACCUGGCGUGGAUGACGGUACCGGAAGAAUAAGCACCGGCUAACUACGUGCCAGCAGCCGCCGUAA